AAUCAUUUGUCUUUUAAAUGAAGACUUGUAUGAACGGCAAAACCUCCUCCAACUGUCUCCCCUCCCAUCCUUCCAAAUUUCCUCCUGUGUGAAGAAGCACAGAUACACCAGAAAGACGAGAAGACCCUGUCGAGCUUUAACCACCAAGUGGGCCUUACCAUUUCAGGCACCACCCAAAGGUUUUGGUUGGGGCAACCACGGAGAAAAAACAUCCUCCAGAACGAAUAGAAGAAAGCUUUUCACUAUUAUUACGAUUAAGAACCAGGAACUGGUAUUCGGAAAGAGUUACCGCAGGGAUAACAGCGUCAUCUCCUCUAAGAGUCCUUAUUGACGAGGAGGUUUGCGACCUCGAUGUUGGAUUGGGGCCCCCUUAGGGUGCAGAAGCUCUAAACGGUUAGACUGUUCGUCUAUUAAAGCCCUACAUGAUCUGAGUUCAAACCGGAG
rnacentral:rRNA from 1 species